CAGCUGUAUCAGGUUGAAACACCAGUUUCCAUAUGAUCAAUGAAGUUAAGUAAUGUUGAGCCUGGUCAGUACCUAGAUGGGUGACCACUUGAGAAUACCAGUUGGUGUAA